UGGUAAGUUACCAUCUGACAUUUUAAAAAUGUCUUGGACUUGAUUCUGUUUUCUUCCGAGAGUCUGUCUGUGUGUCAGUAAGCAUCUGUUUUCCUCUCAUGUAAUCUUAGGGAGUGCUCUUGUUAUUCUGUGCAUACUGUACAUACAAACCCUGUGAGCAACAGGUCAAUAUUCCGAUGGGCGUCUGUGUUCCCGUCAGCAGACUUUGAUCUGAUGAGCUCUUUAAAGAUCUCCUGCAGCUUUCUCUUUCUUUGUUUUCUUAGGGGCACGUUGGGAUUGUUUUGGUGCACACGCUUCCUAAAUGUCAGGUUAUUAUAAUUGAAAAUACAGAGGCAUCUUUGGUCAGGGUCAGAGACAGAAGCACUCAGCUCGGAUUGACAAACAUCGGCUUCAUCCAGACAAACCUCGACUAUUUCACUGGGAUCUUCAGCAUUGGGGUGGCCCUGCAUGUGUGUGGAGUGGUGACAGACACGGUGUUGGAUCGCUGCCUCCAGGCGCUGGCGGGGAUUGUGAUUAGUCCUCGCUGCUACGGGUUCAUUCAAAACACACUCAAGUUCAACUUUCCCAAGAGGAGUAUACGAUCCUGUGCAGGUUCACAGACCAGACGGCUUUCAGUUUAC